rnacentral:rRNA from 1 species
GAUGAACGCUGGCGGCGUGCCUAAUACAUGCAAGUCGAGCGAACAGACCAUGAUCUUUCUCCUCUGACGUUAUCGGCUGACGUGUGUGUAACACCUGUAUAACCUACCUUUAAUACUUGUAUAACUUCGUGAAACCGCUUCUAAUACCGUAUAAUAUAUUGAACCUCAUUGUUCAUUAGUGUAAUACUUUUUUUCUGUCUCUUAUAGAUUGUUCCGCGCCGCAUUAGCUAGUUGGUAAGGUAACGUCUUACCAAGGCAACGAUGCGUAGCCGACAUGAGAGGGUGAGCGGCAAGACUGGAAGUGAGACACGGAACAGAGGACGACGGGAGGGAGCAGUAGGGAAUAUGACGGAAAGGGCGAAAGGAUGACGGAGCAAAGCGGCGUGAGUGAAGAAGGUCUUAGGAUCGUAAAACUCUGUUAUUAGGGAAGAAAAAAUGUGUAAGAAAAUAAGAACGGAUGGACGGUAAAAAAUAAGAAAGCAACGGCUAACUACGUG